rnacentral:rRNA from 1 species
CACGUAGGGGGCGAGCGUUGUCCGGAUUUAUUGGGCGUAAAGAGCUCGUAGGCGGUUUCGUAAGUCGGAUGUGAAAACUCCAGGCUCAACUUGGAGACGCCAUUCGAUACUGCGAUGACUUGAGUCCGGUAGGGGAGUGUGGAAUUCCUGGUGUAGCGGUGAAAUGCGCAGAUAUCAAGAGGAACACCAGUGGCGAAGGCGAGUCCCUGGACGAUACCUGACACUGAGGCACGAAAGCUAGGGGAGCAAACAGG